UGAAAAAUAUUAGGCAAAAAAUUCUUUAAUUUUUCGAGAUAAGAUAUAUUUGAAUUGGUGUUUCUUAGACAUAAGAUGAUGUGGGGCUUUUAUUUUAUUUUUCUCAUUAAACAACCAAAUAUUUAGCAACAGAAGAAUAAAGGAGCUUUUGGUUUUCAUUCUUGAUUUCUUUCUUCAGCCAUUCUUAAGUAAAAGUAGGAAACUCCUACAAAGCAUUCUGGUUCAUAUGUAGUACAUUUAUCCCUUUGGUAAUUUAAUAAUUUGCUAUUUUAAUGUACUUGUCAUUUAAGUCUUUCAGAUCCAGAAAGGUGAACCCAAUGGGGAAAAAAAAAAAAAGAAAUGAAGUUGCAUUUCACCUCUGUUUGAAAGCAUUAAGAGACUAGUCUAGUAUGGUCCAUUUAUUUUAAAAAUUUAAAAUUGGUUAGAACUGUAAUAUUAAAAUAUUUGGAAAUGUUCACUCACAUAUAGCAAGACUGAAGUUGAGAAUAAUGGUAAUUUGUCAUCAUUGAUACAUUUGGUAAUUUUAGAGCAAAGUUAGUCAAAUUUUAUCUCUAUCCCUGGUAUAAUUUUUAAACUCUAUGGGUUUUAGAAACACAAAGAAUAUUUUUUAUAAUCUUCCUUAGUCUUUUCAGAGCUACCUACCUAUGCAUAUUUAUCUUUGCUCCUUUGAAAAUGAAUGUCAUAAAGAGAAAUGAAAGCAGAAACUUAUCUGAUUUGUUUGAAGAGGCUUGGGGUGAUAAUGCAUAUCACAGGUGUUCUUAACUUAUUUUCUGUUCGAAAAAUAUUUUCAUAGUAGAGAUUCUUUCUUUAAGCAUUGCAAUAUUUUCAAGAUUUGACUGUUCAGAGAUCAGCUAGAACUACAAGAGAUAUAUCUGUUGAGUGUCUUUAUAUAAUAAUACAUGACAUUUUUAUUGCAGAUUUUAACCUUUAGAAGAGAACCAAUUCUGGAAAACAGCCUAACUUUCUUUGACUGAAUACUGACAUCAUGAAUUGGAACGUGAUAGAGGAUUAAGGUUUAACAAUGAUAAAUGAAGAUAUUACUAAAACAGCCUGCUUAGUAGCUCAACAAUUAUUUUUGCUAGAGAUGGAGCCCAGGGCCUUCCAGGAACCAAGGCAAGCACUUUACCUCCCUAGCUCUUUAUCUGUGGAAUAUGGAUGUCCUAGAAGUGGCAUAAUGGUGUUAAUAUGUUAGGUGCUCUCAACUGAAUAAUGGUAGUAUUUUGCAUUCAUUUUUUUAAGUUGCAUAAAGAGUUUUCUUUCCAGUUUAAA